rnacentral:rRNA from 1 species
CGAGCGGGGAAGGUAGCUUGCUACCUAACCUAGCGGCGGACGGGUGAGUAAUGCUUAGGAAUCUGCCUAUUAGUGGGGGACAACAUUCCAAAAGGAAUGCUAAUACCGCAUACGUCCUACGGGAGAAAGCAGGGGACCUUCGGGCCUUGCGCUAUUAGAUGAGCCUAAGUCGGAUUAGCUAGUUGGUGGGGUAAAGGCCUACCAAGGCGACGAUCUGUAGCGGGUCUGAGAGGAUGAUCCGCCACACUGGGACUGAGACACGGCCCAGACUCCUACGGGAGGCAGCAGUGGGGAAUAUUGGACAAUGGGGGGAACCCUGAUCCAGCCAUGCCGCGUGUGUGAAGAAGGCCUUUUGGUUGUAAAGCACUUUAAGCGAGGAGGAGG